rnacentral:lncRNA from 1 species
UCUUGUGGAAGAGCAGCAAGGGCUUCUAACUGAUGAGCCCCAAAUAAAUAAUAUUAUACAUGUUAACUGUGGGAAAUACUAGUACGCUAGUAGUAGCAAACCUGGUUUUUAUUUCUUUAAUUAUGCUUAUAUUUUUUAUUCUCUGUGUGUGUGCUCAUAGGCAUGCAUUCAUGUCUCACAGCACCUGUACAGAGGUCAAAGGACAACUGAUGGGAGCCAAUUCUCUUCCACCACGUGGGCCCCAGGAUGGAAUCGGGUCAUCAGGAAAUAUAUCAACUUGGACAGCCAUCCCCAGGGGCCUGCUGUUGAAAUAUUUCCUGAGUGCUGAAGGCUGCUGAGAAUGGAAACAAAG